rnacentral:rRNA from 1 species
UCGGUGACGACUGCUGGAGCGUUUAGAAAAGAAAAUGUAGGCAUAAGUAACGAUAAAUAAAGUGAAAAACUUUAUCGCCGUAAGACUAAGGGUUCCUGAUCAAUGUUAAUCAGAUCAGGGUUAGUCGGGUCCUUAGGCAAACCCGAAAGGGGUAGCUGAUGGCAAGUUAGUUAAUAUUCUAACACCAGUUUUAGUUUCGAUGGGGUGACGGGGUAGUGAAAGGUCCGCGAGCAAACGGUAUGUCUCGUUAAAGGGUGUAGAUAUAGGUUGUGUAGGUAAAUCCGCACGACUUGUCGAACCUGAUAGUACAGCAAUGCUUCGGCAACGCUGAUAGUGAUCCUAAUCAAACCUCCAAGAAAAACCUCUAAGGCUAGGCUAAAACUGCCCGUACCGUAAACCGACACAGGUAGUCGAGAUGAGUAUUCUAAGGCGCUCGGGUGAGCCGCGGAGAAGGAACUAGGCAAAUUAACGCUGUAACUUCGGGAUAAAGCGUACCGUCUUUGACGGUCUCAGUAAAUUGGUUCAACCAACUGUUUAGCAAAAACACAGGGCCCUGCAAAAUCGUAAGAUGACGUAUAGAGCCUGAUACCUGCCCGGUGCUGGAAGGUUAAGGAAGGAUGUUCGGCGCAAGCCAAAGCUUUCGACUGAAGCCCCAGUAAACGGCGGCCGUAACAAUAACGGUCCUAAGGUAGCGAAAUUCCUUGUCGGGUAAGUUCCGACCUGCACGAAUGGUCUAAUGAGUUGAACACUGUCUCCUCCGCGAGCCCGGUGAAAUUGUAGUAUCGGUGAAGAUGCCGGUUACCCGCCACGGGACGAAAAGACCCCGUGAACCUUCACUACAGCUUUGCAUUGAUUUUGAGUAACAGAUGUGUAGAAUAGUUGGGACGCUACGAAGCCAUGCCGCCAGGUGUGGUGGAGCGGUCGUUGAAAUACCAACCUUCUGUUACUUAGAGUCUAAUCCCGAAAGGGAGACAUUGCAUGGUGGGUAGUUUGACUGGGGUGGUCGCCUCCUAAAAAGUAACGGAGGCUCGCAAAGGUGCCCUCAGCAUGGUUGGUAAUCAUGCGUAGAGCGUAUUAGUAUAAGGGCGCUUGACUGUGAGACUGACAAGUCGAGCAGGUGCGAAAGCAGGCUAAAGUGAUCCGGUGGUUCCGCAUGGAAGGGCCAUCGCUCAAAGGAUAAAAGGUACUCCGGGAUAACAGGCUGAUCUCCCCCAAGAGCUCAUAUCGACGGGGAGGUUUGGCACCUCGUUGUCGGUUCGUCACAUCCUGGGGCUGGAGAAGGUCCCAAGGGUUCGGCUGUUCGCCGAUUAAAGUGGCACGUGAACUGGGUUCAGAACGUCGCAAGACAGUUCGGUCUCUAUCUGUGGUGGGCGUUAGUAAAUUGAGAAGACAUGACCUUAGUACGAGAGGACCGGGUCGUACACACCGCUGGUGUAUCUGUUGUGCCGCCAGGUGCAGUGCAGAGUAGCUAUGUGUGGCAAGGAUAAGCGCUGAAAGCAUCUAAGCGCGAAACCUUCUUCAAGAUGAGUUUACUUUUAAGGGUCGUAGUAGACGACUACGUUGAUAGGCUAUAGGUGUAAAGCUAGUAAUAGCAAAGCCGAGUAGUACUAAUUGCCCGUAAGCUUUUGUA